rnacentral:lncRNA from 1 species
GUGAAAGCUCUAUUUAACUGCUCCCAUUGCUUGAUCCAGACACUUCUGACAGUCUGUUUUUACAGACAUGGCAAAACAACACUUGGAAGUCAUUUGAGAAAAUAUUCCUGGUAUCACAGAGGGAGUGUCCUCUAGCUGAGUGAAGUCAUUUUUCCUUGAAUGACUGACAGAAUGGCUUUGGUUCACCUGUAAUUCACAGUUUAGCUGAUCCAGUGUACUGUAAAGUCUGUUUCACUCCACCAGCCAACAAGGAGCAGGCGGCCGUGGUUUUCUCAUGUUCUGGGGGAAGCUGUUUGUCAGUGUUAACCUGGCUAACUUUGGACAGCUGCAACAACAACAUCUAUCCCUUGGCAUAUGGUGUGUUUAGAUGCUAAACACUGCCUCAUCUCGAAGGACUCUCGCCAUGUUGCCCAGACUCAUCUCAAACUACUGGACCCAGACAAUCCUCACACUUUGGCCUCCCAAAAUGCUGAGAUUACAGCUUACCUAAAGUUAACAUCUGAUGACAUGAUCGCAACUCCAUAUCCUGAGUUGAUUUCAACCUAUGAUGUUGGAAUUUUCCACAUGGAGAUAAACACUGGGAAGCAGCUAAUCAUUCUCUCUGGAUUUAUAAGGAACAAAUGGAUAAGUGAAACUUGAAAACAAUGGCCAAAGUACUAAGAACUAAUGUUUCUUCAACAAAACAAAUACUUUUACUUUAAGAACAGAAGAUAAAAGGCCAAAGUUGUAAUAUAAGACAAAUUACGGAAAUAUACACUUAUACAUAUAAAACCACUCCUCUUUUUAAAAAAUCAUGCUUUUUAAGAAGAAUCUUCUCAUAUCAGUGAGAAAGAAAGUUAUCUUAACAAACAAAAAGUAUUUUGAAAAAAAGCGUUCACAUGUAUAAGAAAGAAAAUGAACAAAUAAAUAGGAAAAAAGAUCUCUGGUUCAACCAUAUCAAAGCUUCUUCAUGUUUGUUAUUUUACUCUAAAGGACACCUCCCUGAUCUUGAACUGAUAAUACAGUUAAAAGAAUUAACAGAAAGAGAGAGGGAUAGAAAUGGUCACGUACAGAAUGAAAAAUAAAGGAAAUUUUUUUCUUAUUAUUUUCCUAAUUUGUCUUAAUUCAAAUGAGCAGAAUAGAGUGCUCCAAAUCAGAACUGUGACUCACUAGAACUAAUAUAUUUUGUCAACAUAUUUAUAAUUGAACAUAUCAGUAAUCUUUCAUUUGAACAAUUAAUUGUGUCAGUAAUCAUUUAUCUGCAUAAUAGUUAUAAUUAAUUUGUUACAUUUAUUUAAUUAUUCAUAAUUUAUUACAAAAUGCAACAUCAAGAAUCAUCUAAUAACAAAACUUAUUUGACAGUGUUUGAUAAAUAUGUUUAUGAAUGUCCCACUGAGAUAUGUUAAAAACCACAUUGAUAGCAAAAUUACUUUAAAAUACAUGCUUUAUCAUUAUGGCAAUAGAUGCUGUUUAUGACUCAUCUUGUUUCUAUUCUGUACGACAAACUCUCAGAUCUUCUUUUUUCAAACUUCGAUUUGAUCUCUGAGUUUCUGACUUUCCCCUCUCUCUUUCUUACUUAUUUUUGAAAAAGGACAUUUUGACACUACCAAUAAUGAUAAAAAAAAGAGAGACGAAAAAGUGAGAUUAGCAGGUAAUUUUUAAAGUUAAAGAAUAGUUAUAUUUAGGCAGGGCACAGUGCCUCACGCCUGUAAUCCCAGCACUUUGGGAGGCCAAGGUGGGCAGAUCACAUGAGGUCAGGAGUUUGAGACCAGCAUGGCCAACAUGGUGAACCAUGUUUCUACUAAAAAUACAAAAAUUAGCCUGCUGUGGUGGCACAUGUCUGUAGUCCCAGCUACUGAUGAGGCUAAGGAGGGAGAAUCACUUCAACCCAGGGAGCAGAGCUUGCAGUGAGCUGAGAUCGUGCCACUGCACUCCAGCCUUGGCGACUGAAUGAGUCUCUGCCUCAAAAGAAAAAAAAACAGUGAUAUUUAUUCAUUAUUGCCACAAUAGGAUAAAAUGAUUUAAGUCCAUAUAAAUCUAAGUAAACCUGCAAUUGUUUAUAUCCUAAAAGGACACACAAGGAAGUACGUUUGAAAUUAAUCAUGUGGCUUUCUUCCCACCCCAAAUACUCCCCCACUCUCCAGAUUCUUUAGAGUUCACUUUUCAAAAGGAUUGAAAAAACAUAUAUUUCAAAGUUUUUUUUUUUAAUUUAAGGAAUUGAAAGAGCAGAAAAUAUAUACUAAUCAUUCUUCUUAAGCCCUGUGCUCUGUUUCAUUUUCCAAAGGCGUCUACUCUCAGUGGUUUGUUUUUGCUCUUUUUGUGGUUAUGGUUAUAACUAAAUAUGGUAAUCAUUUACCUCGCUUUGUUGCUGCAUUUACCUGCUAUGAAGUAUGAGGAAUUUAGUUUACUUGCACUUCUACUUUCAAAAUUAUUGUUUAUAGCCUCAAUAUUAGUUCUCCUUGAAUGAUGCAUUUGAACUCCCUAUUUGUAUUGAAAUAGCUACUAUCUUCUACUCUGAAAGAUGAAUAAAUUAAUGCACUUACUUUGGACUUCUUUCCAUCUCUGUUCUUGAUUGUCUUUUAGUUAUAUAAUUGUUUUACACUGUCAAGAAUUAUAAUUCUUAUAUUUUUGCUGAAACUAUUUUUCAUAUCUCAAAUUAUAAGUAUUGAGUAUUUGACUUCAAUUUGUAUAAUCAACUUAUGUACAAAGCAUGGAAGGAUUAAUCCACUGUAGAAUUCAUGGUGUCAUGUGAUUGAUGUCAAAGAAAAGAGAAAAUAUGAUACCAUGUCAUUUAAACUUUACCACUUGAAGAAAAAUUUCACAAGUGCCUGAAUAUAAUAAAUUUUAUUUUAAUAUUUUUCUAGCUUUCUUUACUUCUUUUGAGUCAUACUCAGGUGCUGGCAUUUUGGGGACAACACUUUGGUUUGUUUGGGGUUAUAUAUUUUAUUUUUCUGUAGUCUAGCCUAGUCUACUUUUAUUUAUGGUAUAUGGGUAGUUUGCUCUCUAAGUUCUUGCAUGCUAACAGAUCUUUGAUUUUUGCUCAUAUCUGAUUAAUUAUUUGGAUGAAUAGAGAAUUCUAGGUAUAAAUGGUUUUCUGGAGUCUGUCUUACAGUAUACUUAUGAGAAAUCUGGCCUCUCAGUUAUUUUAUUUCUCCUUCAAUGAUCUUGUCCUCCACCUCAUGCCAACUUCCCACUUCUAUGGUCUUAGACAUUGCCAUGACCAACCGUCCCAUAAUCAUAUUCUCAGAUAUUCCAUUCUCUCCAUUUAGCUAUCUAUAAUUAUCAUAUAUAGAUAUAAAUUAUCAUAUAUCUCCACAACUUUCUAGGGCACACAUUAUAAUAUUUUCAUAAAAUGCCUUAUUUUCUUUUAUGAAUAUGAUGGGAAAUGCUAGAUCAAGGAAUAAUGAACAAAACAAAGGAAUAUAGAUGUUUCAUGUAUUUAUUCAACAUUUAUUGAGUGCUGACCAAGUAACAGACACAAUGCAGACUCUGAGCCUGUAGAGGUAAAUGAUCAACAACAGCAAUAACAAAUCUCAGGUCUCAAAUCCUAGUAAAGAAUUUCACAAUCUAGUACGUCAAAACAUUAGUAUGCUUAACAACUAUUGUAUUCAUGGUGCAAACAGAAAUAGGCCUCUACGCUGAAAAAUAAUAAAAAUAUGAGAAAGAUUUUUCAGGAUAUAUAGCGUUGUUAAGUUUCUUGAAAAAGUUUGGGGAAAUAUUUUGAGAAUAAGAUAAAUUACCUAUUACUAGAAUUUUAGGUUUAUGUUAAAUUUUCUUUACAAUAAGUAAGGGAUAAAGUAAGUAAUACUUUAGUGGUUUAACAAUAUGUCCACAUAUUUUUGGCAUCCUUCCCUUUAAUAAUUGGAGCCUAAUUUCCCUUCUCUUGAAAAUAAUCUAGAAUUAGUGACUAGCUUCUAACAAGAAUGUGGCAGAAGUGACAGCAUCCGACUUCUGAGACUAGGUCAUAGAUGACAUUGCUGAUGCCACGCUCCUCUCUCUUGUAUUGUUUGCCCUGGGGAGAGUCAGCCAUCUGCUAUGUCAUGAGGACACUCAAGCAGCCCGUGGAGAGGCUCACAUGGGGAUAAAGGGAGGCCUCCUGCCAAAAUCCAGCCACAACGUGGCAAUCAUGCGAGUGAGCCACCUCUGAAGUGGAACCUCCAGCCCAGUCAAGCCUUCAGAUGACUGGCACUCACUUUCCUGACUGCAACCUCAUGACAGACCCAAAGCCAGAAUUGUCCAACUAAUGUGUUCCCAAAUGUUUUGACCCACAGAAACUGUGAGAACAAUCAAUUUCUAUUGUUUUAAAGUCGCCUAAGUUUUGGGGUAAUUUGUUAUACUGUGAUGAACAGCUACAUACAAAUUUAAGUUUAUUAAAUUAGAAGUUGAAGGAGAGAAAUGAAAGUCAAAUUCUAGUACUCAGUAAAUUCUAAAAGCUUAUGAUACCAGUUAGUUUUUACAUCAUAACAUAAUCGCUUCUUUUUUUUUUUUCUGAACAAAAUUGCUAUGGAAAAACCCAACUCAAAGGUUAGUGAAAGAGAAAUAUAGUUUUCAUUUAAAAGGGAAAGUACAACUUUGCUGUAGGUCUUAGAUAAAAAUAGAUUGUAUAAUCUGAAAACCUCCCCACAACUUUUUUGUGAGUUUAUAUUAUUUUCUCCUUUUAAAAGAUGGUUAAACUGCUAACUAAAAGGAAUUUCAGAAGAGAACUGCCAUAAAAAAUUUUAACUUCUUAUACAAUGGAUAGACUUAUUUGCUAUUUGUACAAUAUACAUACUAUGAAAUACAAUGGUUUGCAUGAUUUAGAAUUGUGUAAGUUUUUUUGAAAAUAACUGUGGAGGUAUAAGUGGAAGCUUGACUCCAAAAUCAGACUUUUCCUAACUCAUCCUCUUUCAACUGAGAAAACUGCCUAUCGGAACUGGGUGCAUAGGGAAAUAUCAGACAGAAUAUGGACAACUGCCAGGACUUGUGGUUUUUUUUUAAAGGACUUGGGCAAUGACCAUGGUUGGUGUCAUAAUAAAGCACAUAGAUUUUUCUUUUAAAAAACAUUUGUAAAAGGGAAUGGAUUAAAGAAGUUCUUUGAUCUCAGAAAUGGCAUAUAUCUAUGUAGGUUGUUUUUUGUUAUAUUUUCAAUUGACUACCUUUCAUACUUGGGAUUCCCUCAAAGAAAUAAAGUUCUCUGAAAAAGCUUUUGAUACUUUAUUAAAAAAUCCAUCGUCUGGGCGCGGUAGCUCAU